UUUUUCUUUAACCACUCAUAUUCACUCCAAAUAAAAACGUCAAGAGGAUCGUCACUGGAAUGUUUGGUGUAAUUCUGAAAAACUGAAAAAACUAAAAGAACAGUCAAAAGUCCAGGUAGCAGCAAACAGACAUCCUGUAAUGAAAAAUAAAAAAAUGCACCAGGUCUCAUUAAGCAUAAAUGUCAGCCACAAACAUUUGAUCUGAGAAGUAGCAAAACAUGCAGAAAACACGAAUUUCAUUUCUCUUACUUUAAAAAAAAAAACCAACAAAAAACCCAAGACGUGUGCAGCAUUGUGAUACACAAUGCCCAUCACAAGCCCCAAUAUGGCUUUUCUGUACAAAUUGACCUUUGCAAAACAUCUUUUGGAUGUAGGUAAAUACACUGCAUUAUAAACAAAUUCAGACCACAGAAUCUGCAUAGUGCAAAGUUGCUUUUUAAAGAAAUUACUAAUUGCAGCACAAUUUAAAGGAAAAAUCCUAUGGAAUUCCUUCCCUCUCCCAUGACUAAAGGCUGCAGUAUACAAAGUGCAAAGACAGUGAAACAGCCAGCUCAAAUACAGGCAUUUCAUUAGUAUAUUCAUGACAUUAAAUUAAGUCAGCACCUCUUAUCCCAGCAGUGAUGAGUAAUGGCAAUGUCAUAGUCAGUGUAAAAGCAGGUUUCUAGUGAUCUGCAGAACAGUCUUUCAUCACGACACUGCGAACCUGCUACAGCAUCCACACAGCAUUCAUUCCUUUCUUCAUCCUCCUAGCAUAGCAACAGCAAAUAUACACAUCGCAGCCUAUUUUUAUGUGACUCUACUGCCCAGAAAACCCUACUGCUCCCAAAUAGUUCUCUUCAUUAGAAGUGGCUAGCAAAACUGCAAAAUGUGAAUGAGUUUCUGUGUGUGUGAAUGAAAGGGCUGGCUAGCAUCCCCACAUUUCUGUGAAUGAAGCGAGGCCUCGCAGCCUUUGCCAGGCAAUCCCUUGGGUGCUCACCAGCCCAGCCAAUACCAGCCGGCUCUGAUGACUCAUUCAGCAAAGCCUUGCUAAAUAGUGGAAGAUCCCAUUUCCAGCACAGGCGGCACCUUUUUUGCAGCAACACUGGGAAAUGCAGCCGGCGUCUGAGCAGACGAGGGUGGGUCACAAAGCCCCCAUGUAAGAGAGGGUGUUGCCAGAAAAAUGCAUGGGGUGUCCACAGGGGUGGCAGGUGAGGAAAACCUGGAAGCCAGAUCUGGGUUUCUCCCCGACGUGUUCAUUCAGCCGGUUCAUUUACAUCCAGGAUGGGAACAUGAAUGCGCACGUUUCGUUUGAUGUUCAAUUGCUCUCCUUGUGCACCAGCAGAUUCAUAGAUUUUACAAGUUUGCCUUCAGAGACCCCGAUGAAAAAAAAAAGGGGAAAAAAAAAAACCAACUCUUGAAUAAAAAAGAUGCUUAUGCUUAUUCUCCAAGAACCAGCAAAAGGACCAGUUUCUGACACUGCUUCACCGGACACAGAAACACUACCAGGACAUCCAAUGGGUGUUGAGCUCUCCUGGAAAUCUGACAUUAGACAUUGCAAGGGAGUAGUAGCCACUGAAUUAUCCGCUGCUUGAAAACUGGUGCUUAUUUCAGUGUCUGGUUGGGAACUGAUCUCCUUUACAAAUCCAGCUCUAAACUGGAAGAACUGAAUGUUUUAAAACCUUGCCUUUUGUAGUUCUUGAGACCAGAAAAGGUCAGUAAUAUCGUCCUAAAGCCGCAGGUUCAAAUCCAACUCCAGGAAAUAGUGAAUGAAUUUAGGAAACCUUGUAAUAGGCAUAAACUGCAAUUAAAAAUAGGACCUAGUUAAUUCUAGCUAUUGCCAGAACAUUGUAAUGCCUCUGACAUUUCCAACAACAUGCCUGUAGCUUGCACACUGACUAUACCAUGCAAGCCUUAAACAACCUUGUUACUACUGUUAUCACAGCACAACUGAAAGCAAGACAUUCAAAUCACCAUUUCUCUCUAAUUUGUCUGCAGCUAUGCUAGGUCAGCUAGUAAAGUGGAUUGAAAAUAAGCCUUUUUUUUUUUUUUUUCUUUUUACAGGUGUAUGAGCCAGACACUGCUACCCUAAGUAACAAAUGG
ensembl:lncRNA